GGGCUUGUGGUUUAGUGGUAUAAUACUCCCUUAGCAUCGGAGACGAUCCUCUCUACAGAGGUAGAAGUCCUGAGAUUUGGGAGUGGUCCGGGGUUCGAUUCCCCGCGAGUCCA
rnacentral:tRNA from 1 species